UGGCUCAGUUGGUAGAGCAUGGCACUUGCAAUGCCAGGGUUGUGGGUUUGAUUCCCAU
rfam:Salmo salar isolate Sally breed double haploid chromosome ssa08, whole genome shotgun sequence.